rfam:Bacillus smithii strain DSM 4216, complete genome.
GAGAAUUUGUAGGGGAGCCGGUAGUGCCGGCUGAGAAAGCAUCCGCUAGAUGCUGACCCUUCGAACCUGAUCUGGUUGAUGCCAGCGUAGGGAACAUAUUCUCAAACAGG